UACGUAGGGGGCAAGCGUUGUCCGGAUUUAUUGAGCGUAAAGAGCGUGUAGGCGGCCUGACAAGUCUGCUGUGAAAACUCGAGGCUCAACCUCGAGAUGUCGGCGGAAACUGUCUGGCUAGAGUCCGGAAGAGGAGAGUGGAAUUCCUGGUGUAGCGGUGAAAUGCGCAGAUAUCAGGAAGAACACCUAUGGCGAAGGCAGCUCUCUGGGACGGUACUGACGCUGAGACGCGAAAGCGUGGGGAGCGAACAGG
rnacentral:rRNA from 1 species